rnacentral:rRNA from 1 species
AUUGAACGCUGGCGGCAGGCCUAACACAUGCAAGUCGAACGGUAACAGGAAGCAGCUUGCUGCUUCGCUGACGAGUGGCGGACGGGUGAGUAAUGUCUGGGAAGCUGCCUGAUGGAGGGGGAUAACUACUGGAAACGGUAGCUAAUACCGCACAAUGUCGCAAGACCAAAGAGGGGGACCUUCGGGCCUCUUGCCAUCGGAUGUGCCCAGAUGGGAUUAGCUUGUUGGUGGGGUAACGGCUCACCAAGGCGACGAUCCCUAGCUGGUCUGAGAGGAUGACCAGCCACACUGGAACUGAGACACGGUCCAGACUCCUACGGGAGGCAGCAGUGGGGAAUAUUGCACAAUGGGCGCAAGCCUGAUGCAGCCAUGCCGCGUGUAUGAAGAAGGCCUUCGGGUUGUAAAGUACUUUCAGCGGGGAGGAAGGGAGUAAAGUUAAUACCUUUGCUCAUUGACGUUACCCGCAGAAGAAGCACCGGCUAACUCCGUG